CGAGGCAGCACUGCCCUCUGCUAGGAACAGCUCCGUGUUGGCCUCUCUGUCCCCACACACUGGGCCUGCAGGGCUUCUCCGAGACUCUUCAGUUCAGGCUUCUGGGUGCUUUCCUUAGUUCAGCACCAGUGCUCUGUGUGGGCAGCGUCUCCCCCGAGGAUCCGCAGCUCCGGGUUACCCGCAGGCGUCCAUCUCCGGGAUGGUCCUGGCUGUGCUGCUGCACCAGGGCCGCCUUCCCCACCUUUUCCAGAGGAACCUGUUCUACGGCCAGAAGAACAAGUACCGAGCACCCCGAGGGAAGCCGGCCCCGGCCUCAGGGGACACCCAGACCCCUGCAAAGGGGUCCAGUGUCCGGGAGCCUGGGCGCAGUGGUGUUGAGGGGCCACAUUCCAGCUGAGUGGCCUUGCUCUGUGUGAGCCCCGUGCGAGGGCCCUGCUUGUAGCUGGACCCUGGAACCUUCUGUAGCUAAGAGGGAAUCCUGGCCCCCUCCCCAGAAGCCAUUUGUCAAUAAACCAUUUCUAAG
rnacentral:lncRNA from 1 species